rnacentral:rRNA from 1 species
UACGUAGGGUGCGAGCGUUAAUCGGAAUUACUGGGCGUAAAGUGUGCGCAGGCGGCCGAGCAAGUCGAGUGUGAAAGCCCCGAGCUUAACUUGGGAAUUGCGCUCGAAACUACUUGGCUGGAGUGUGGCAGAGGAAGGUGGAAUUCCAGGUGUAGCGGUGAAAUGCGUAGAGAUCUGGAGGAACACCGAUGGCGAAGGCAGCCUUCUGGGCCAACACUGACGCUCAUGCACGAAAGCGUGGGGGAGCAAACAGG